CAAUCUUAGAAGGAUCUAUAGUUUUAGAAUGUGAUUCUUCGCUCACGCUACCUUGGUUUACUUCUUGGAUGCUACCAACAUUACUUUCAUG
rnacentral:antisense_RNA from 1 species